rnacentral:rRNA from 1 species
UACGGAGGGUACAAACGUUGCUCGGAAUCACUGGGCAUAAAGCGCGCGUAGGCGGUCCACCCAGUCAGAUGUGAAAGCCCUCGGCUCAACCGGGGAACUGCAUUUGAUACUAGUGGGCUUGAGGAUGGUAGGGGUGUGUGGAACUUCAGGUGGAACGGUGAAAUGUAUUGAUAUCUGAAGGAACACCUGUGGCGAAAGCG